rnacentral:rRNA from 1 species
CAGUCGAACGAAGUUUUUCUUUCGGGAGGAACUUAGUGGCGGACGGGUGACUAUCGCGUGGGUAACCUGCCCUGUACAGGGGGACAACAGCUGGAAACGGCUGCUAAUACCGCAUAAGCCCUUAGCACUGCAUGGUGCAUAGGGAAAAGGAGCAAUCCGGUACAGGAUGGACCCGCGUCUGAUUAGCCAGUUGGCAGGGUAACGGCCUACCAAAGCGACGAUCAGUAGCCGAUCUGAGAGGAUGUACGGCCACAUUGGGACUGAGACACGGCCCAGACUCCUACGGGAGGCAGCAGUGGGGAAUAUUGCACAAUGGAGGAAACUCUGAUGCAGCGACGCCGCGUGAGUGAAGAAGUAUUUCGGUAUGUAAAGCUCUAUCAGCAGGGAAGAAAAUGACGGUACCUGACUAAGAAGCACCGGCUAAAUACGUGCCAGCAGCCGCGGUAAUACGUAUGGAGCAAGCGUUAUCCGGAUUUACUGGGUGUAAAGGGAGUGUAGGUGGUAUCACAAGUCAGAAGUGAAAGCCCGGGGCUCAACCCCGGGACUGCUUUUGAAACUGUGGAACUGGAGUGCAGGAGAGGUAAGUGGAAUUCCUAGUGUAGCGGUGAAAUGCGUAGAUAUUAGGAGGAACACCAGUGGCGAAGGCGGCUUACUGGACUGUAACUGACACUGAGGCUCGAAAGCGUGGGGAGCAAACAGGAUUAGAUACCCUGGUAGUCCACGCCGUANACGAUGAAUACUAGGUGUUGGGAANCAUUGCUUCUCGGUGCCGUCGCAAACGCAGUAAGUAUUC